UGCAGCCUUGUCAAAUUCAGUGCUUCCUCCCUUCUGGAUGCCACUGGCCAAAAUGGCUGCCACAGUGAAGGUGCAGUUCAUGGGCCCCAUGGUGCUUCGGGGUCACCAUUGGGGAUAAAAAUAUACUGCACACAACU